rnacentral:rRNA from 1 species
AGUGAACGCUGGCGGUAGGCCUAACACAUGCAAGUCGAACGGCAGCACAGUAAGAGCUUGCUCUUACGGGUGGCGAGUGGCGGACGGGUGAUGAAUACAUCGGAAUCUACUUUUUCGUGGGGGAUAACGUAGGGAAACUUACGCUAAUACCGCAUACGACCUACGUGUGAAAUCAUGGGAUCUUCGGACCUUGCGCGAUUGAAUGAGCCGAUGUCGGAUUAGCUAGUUGGCGGGGUAAAGGCCCACCAAGGCGACGAUCCGUAGCUGGUCUGAGAGGAUGAUCAGCCACACUGGAAGUGAGACACGGUCCAGACUCCUACGGGAGGCAGCAGUGGGGAAUAUUGCACAAUGGGCGCAAGCAUGCUCCAGCCAUACCGCGUGGGUGAAGAAGGCCUUCGGGUUGUAAAGCCCUUUUGUUGGGAAAGAAAAGCAGCAGGUUAAUACCCCGCUGUUCUGACGGUACCCAAAGAAGAAGCACCGGCUAACUUCGUG